AUUUGGUCAUAGAACUAUAACUCACUCUAUUUAAGAUCACGUUUUCUUGCUAAAUAGCCAAAUUUUUGAAGGAUGGAGGGUAAAGCAAGAGAACCAAGUGAAACGUGACUCAUCUGCCUCAGUUAUGAGAAAUUGUCAGUUUUUGAAUACCCUGCAUAAGUUGCUAAAAAGUGUUAAUCACUUACAUAAAUGUUUGAGACGUAAUAAGAAAAUAAAACACUGCCACCUAAAAUUAUAAUACAACACUCCUUUCAGCUGUUUGAAUAUGCUUUGCCAAGUCAGUCUGGCCUCAGAAUGUUCAGGUGUGCGAAAGCACGAUUAUCACCUGUUGAUAAAUAAGGGAAAGUAAAUAAACUUCGAAGUUGCCAAAGGAGAAAUUUUGGUAAAAUUAGGAUCGGAACCCUUCAUUUUCACAGCAGCCCAUGGUGUUGGCUUCAGGCUAAUUGGCUGGGUUAAUCACCACUGCAGAGCAGUGACUCCCAGUGUUCCUGAGACAAAGAAUCAACAGAUCCGUGGCAAUCUGUCCUUCUCCAUGGCAAUUAUCACAUUCCCCUCUGCACCCGGGGGCCGUGUCAGGACUGGAAUAUGAAAUUACACAGCUCUUUCUGAGAAGUGCUCCCUUACAAAAUUACUGAGAUGGCAUCCAGCAGGAGAGGAGCAGUCAUCUGGCCAUUACCAUGUCAAAUCGCUGGAAGAAAGGAGAAAAUUGCUUCAAACAAACGGGCUGCAGCAGGGAGGAGGCUCCAGCCUUUUCAGCUCUCCUGUAUCUCAACAAGGAGAGACUUGUGGCUGGGGGGACACAGGGAGCUGGGAGGGGACAGAGGCAGGACAGCUGACCCCAGGGACAUCCCAGACCACGGGUGCCGUGCCCAGUGUGUGAAGCUGGGGAAAGGCUGGAAGGGAGGACACGGCUUGGGGGCUCUCUGGGAAUCAUCCAGUUGGUGGUGAGUUCUCAUUUCUGGUUUUUCUCUUUAUUUCUCUCACUUGUUCAGCAUCACCAUUACUGCCACUGCUAUUAUUGGUGCCAGUUUUGUUUUCAUUGUUUA
rnacentral:lncRNA from 1 species